rnacentral:lncRNA from 1 species
CAACUCUUUGUUAAAAGCAGCUGUAUUCAUGGUGGUGAUGCUACUUGCAAGUUUGUAAUUAUGUGAUGCCAUUUGCCCCUUAUAUUGGACCCCACUUUGUCGAUUCUCAUAUUAAAUCAAUUCCUUUUUUAAUCUAGCAUGUCUAUAUAUUAUUGAUUUCCUUUUUUACCCCUUUAAUAUUCCAUAUCUCUAUUCGGAUUAUACAAGUAUCAUACUUCAUUUUGGAGAUUUCUCUUUAUUUCUUUGGAUGGAGGAAGACCUUUCUCUGUCCGACGUAAAGUUUGCCUUUCCUCUAUCGAGUGGAGAUAUAAAUAAUGUGUUGUUUGUCUUUUGAUCAUGGCAGUGAGGCUUAUGGGAGGUUGUUUCUUUUGGCUGUCAUUUUCUUUUUUGGGUUUUCUAGUGAUGUUUUCUAAGAGUGAUGGUGAGGGUGCAACUCUCUUUGUAACCAUUUUCUAUUCUUCCAAGAAGAUCUCAUGUAAGGUCGAGGCUCGAAUAGCGCUUUGCGAAAAUUUCUUUUACAUACGGAAAGUGGUGGUCUCUCAUCUCCCUCUCUCUUGUUGGAUAUUUGGUCUCAGAUUCUCUUGAUUUUAGCUCGAAUGGUGGUGGAGGCUGGACUUAAUUAUAGAAGCUCUUUCUCCUCUUUCAGGAAUAUUCGAUCUACUCUGUUCAACUCGAUCCUGGCAUUGCAUGUGCCUUUUGUGUUUGGCAACAUUCUCCUAUGCUUCGUUUUUAGUUACGGGCUAUCGGCUACGGUCCCUCUUCUUUGUUUUUUAGUUUUGUAUAGUCUAAGCUACUGUUUGAUAUAAAUAAUUUUGAGUGAAAUUAUUUCUUAUAAAAUUUUAAUAAUUUUGAUAA